CAAGGGCUGUGAGAUUCCAGAUGCUACCUGGCAGUGCCAUCGAAGUCCCCAGAUCUUCUGGACUGGCAGAAGGAGGGAUGAGAUUGAUAACCCGGGAUAAUAGCUCGGGCUGGCGGAAAGCUGAAGGGAACUCUUUCCAUCAAAAGGUGUCCUCCAGCUGGACACAUCCCAGGCCACGGCAGGGCCUAGUGCGGUCCUUUGUUUCAGAGAGAACUGUGAUCUCAGUAAGGCCUGAAGCUCUCAGUGCCGGUGGAAACCUCCUUCCAGGGAGGGGGAAGGGCUCCAUGGCUGGCCACGAGUCAGCGGAUGCUAAACCUGGUCGCUCAGUGGAGAGGUGGCAAGUCUGGAGUCUGAUUUGCUUUUGUGUCCUGGUUUUGCUGCCUGUAUCUUAUAAGAUCUUGGGUCCCCCGUCUCUGGCUCUUCUCACAUGGGAGAGCUGGCUGAAAACCAACACUUCCAGAUCCGAAAGGGGAGAAGCCCAGGGAGAGGGGAAGAAGCCUGCUCUCUCUGCACUGCUCUCACACAUCUAGCCGGAUCAAGCUGGGCUCAUACUUGCAUGCUGUGGUGCUUGUCCUCUGACUGAUAUGCCUCUGCCUCCUGCCUACCUGGAACACUAGUCAUCUUCAAAGAUUCCAUGCUAAUGUUACUGCCUCCCAGGAAACUUCCAGGACAAUCCUGUCCCAGACCCCCUUUUUCUUGUCAUAUAGAAUUCUUAUUUCAUGAAUUAUAUUGCCUUUCAAUGAUUUGUUUACAUGUCUGUUUCUCUUUUCCCUUGUAAUCAAGGACUACAUUCAUUCAUUUUUAUAUAUUCAUUUCUAUAUUCAUUUUUAUAUCCUCUGUAUCCAGAAUAUAUGUUAAUAAAUAUUCUAUAUUCAUUUUUAUAUCCUGUUUCCAGCAUGAAUUUUAAUAAAUGUUUAAGUUUUUCAUAAAAGAGAUGGUGGAAAUCUCCGUUCAGCUGAGCACUGAACCUGCCUAAAAGAGUUGGAACCUCACCCACCACACCCCAUCCCCUGCACCUGACUCCACUCUGCAUUCUCCUGGGCUGCUCACUGCCAUGGAGGGUCACAUGUGUUAGCAGGUGAAUUGUGCU
rnacentral:lncRNA from 1 species